GAAAAAUAAAAUGGAACUUUUAAAUGUUCUUCACAGAGAAACUGCAAUAAUCUCACCAGUAGAUGAUAUGAGAAGGAUGACUGGAUUGAUGAGACGACUUGGAAAUCCUUAAUCAAGAUUUAAGUCUGUGCACAUUGCUGGUACUAAGGGAAAAGGGUCAACUGCGAAGUUUCUCUCCGAUAUUUUAUGGCAAGAAGGGUAAUCGGUUGGAUGUUACACUAGCCCGCAUCUUUAGAAUAUCGGAGAAUGUGUUCUGUUACGAAGAAAUGGAGAGCCAGUAUCAGCAGAGUCAUUGAAUUCUCUUUUUCUCCGAAUCAGGAUAAUCUGGACCAGUCAAUUGAAUUAUAAAUGGAUUUAUGAGCCAUUUUGAGGUAUUAAUGGGUUCUCACUGCUGUAGCAUUCACCCUGUUUUCUCAAGAGAAUGUUGAUAAUGCAGAAAUCGAGGCUCUGUAUUCCCCUGCAGAAUUAUUCAUGACAGGUCCAAUACCUGGCAAGUUAGUGUUCUUGUCGAAAGAAGCAUCACUAUAUAUUAUUGCACAAUCAUCUGGAAGGUUGUUAAGUACUGAUGCUGAUGCUGAUGCAGAUAAUUUUAGAUGUAGAGCUAUCAUUGAUGGUCUGUGUACGUUUAGCAUUCAGAUACAACUCAGUGUCAAAAACUAAUUUCAGUGCCAGUCUAGCAGUGGCAUGGUGAUUGAUAGCUUUUCCUUGGAAUACUUGGAAACAUCUGUCUCUCCAUAUGCUCCAGGCUAUAGUGAAAACAGCACAAACCUUAUCUUGGUACAGUCUAUUUCAUAACCACUUGUUGAUCCAACAUCUUGCAUGAUAAGAGAUCCAUAAGGAGUAACGGACUAUACAUCUUUAGAAAAUUGACAAUGUGUUCAGUAGUCUUAAUGAAAUUUCAUUACACAUACUACAAGUAGAAUCGUGACUAGCUAUGUAGUUGGAGAGUUUGGAUUUGGUUGGCAAGAUGUUUUCUUGGCAUUUCCAGAUGAAGAGUUGUACUUUUGGAAGUAUUGGAAGCUUCGACAAAGCCUUACAGACAAGAGUGGUAGCCUGAGGGUUCUGGAUAUGGAUGUUUUCACCAGAAAUGAGCUUGUGGUUCAUGGUGAAUUGGCAGGAGUCUAACAGACACAUCAGUUGACAUACCCAGAUGUACCUGUGACCUUUGCAGUAGCAAUGGCUAAUGACAAAGACCAUUUAGCAUUCGGGAAACAACUUCUUUCAGGAGUUGAGGUAGAACACCAGAUAUUGUUGUACAGACAGAAAUCAACAUAGCUGGAGGGCUACUUCAGCGUCCUUGUUAAAGGAAUCCCGGGUUCGAGUGCCACAGAAAUGAGUAUUUUUGAGAUAUCGGGAUUGGAGGCGAGACCAAGUUUCUGGUGGAGGAACAAGGGAAACGCAUAGCUGCUGAAAGCUAGAUUAGUAGACAGUCAACAGUGUCUCAUUGCGGUCACUGGCUCUCUUCAUAUUGUUUCAUCCCUUUUAGCACCUCUCCAGAGGUAGAAACGAGGAUUGCACGUGUAAUAUGCUUGAAUCAAAAGCCUGUUUGCCCACGCAACUCAGAUCUUCCCUUCUUAGUGUAGCUCGUGGUACCACAGCAAAAGUGAAAUUCACUUGCAUGGGUAAAAUGAAAAAAGAAAAAAUCACUCAUCUGGUAAUUUUUUGAUUAUUCUGUUAGAACUGGACAGUGAUAGAGGUGGAAUGGUUGAUACCUAAAUUUCCACUCUCUGAAAUUUGUAGGUCCAGUCCAGUUAUAUAACUGUAUUCCAUUGUAUUGUCAUUUCACUAACUAGAUCUAGAUGUAGAAGACUUAAAUGUUGAAUCGUAAUAAGGUGGUGCAUGCUCCUGUCUGGACACCCUACGACACCACGCUACAACCAGCGGACAAGUGUGAGUGACACAGGUGGGGGCGUGUUUCCGAUCUUAUUUCUGUUAAAUGUUUUCAUUAGAUCCCGACAGUUAAACAACAACACCAACUGAUAUUAACACAGAGUUGCUUUCCUAGAGAUUCUUCUUCUUGUAGUUGUUCAGUUGUUGUUCUCAUGGGAUGGAAUGGAAUUUCAUGGGUGUUAUUAUUGUUAAUGAA